GGUCGAGCAAGGAUGAAAAUCGGACUUAGUGAUCCGGUGGUUCUGCGUGGAAGGGCCAUCGCUCAACGGAUAAAAGCUACCCUGGGGAUAACAGGCUUAUCUCCCCCAAGAGUCCACAUCGACGGGGAGGUUUGGCACCUCGAUGUCGGCUCAUCACAUCCUGGGGCUGUAGUAGGUCCCAAGGGUUGGGCUGUUCGCCCAUUAAAGUGGUACGCGAGCUGGGUUCAGAACGUCGUGAGACAGUUCGGUCCCUAUCCGUCGCAGGCGUAGGAAAUUUGAGAAGACCUGUCCUUAGUACGAGAGGACCGGGAUGGACGUACCUCUGGUGUACCAGUUGUCCUGCCAAGGGCAUGGCUGGGUAGCUAUGUACGGAAUGGAUAAGCGCUGAAAGCAUCUAAGCGCGAAGCCAACUUCAAGAUAAGAUUUCCCACCGCAAGGGUAAGACCCCAGAAAGACUAUCUGGUUGAUAGGUCGAAGGUGUAAGU
rnacentral:rRNA from 1 species